rnacentral:piRNA from 1 species
UCCCACGAAGAGGUGAAAUUGGCUUGACAA